GAGAGAGAGAGAGAGAGAGAGAGAGAGAGAGAGAGAGAGAGAGAGAGAGAGAGAGAGAGAGAGAGAGAGAGAGAAAGAGAAACGGCGAGAAAAACAGUGAUUAGAGGAUAUCUGAUGAGAACUUAAACACCUCUGGGAUAAAGUGAGAUCCAGCCCACAUCAACAGCAACACGAUUUUAGACCUCCCAUAUUUCAAAUUUGAUACGAUUUUGGAAAACCUCCACACUUGAACCCCCCCCCCCUUUCCCAGCAUUAUCUGUUCGAAGAUCAGUUUUUUAGCAGCCUUUAAACCGCAAAACAAAACGUCAUCUAUACAUCACAACAAAGUGCGAGUGAUGCAUUCAUGGCACAAAACAUAACUCGCCGAGGAAGAAGCAGGCGCAGAGUUUCUUUGCUUUAAUUCUAAAGUUUUGUGGAGAAAACCAUGUUUUAAAAGAACAGCGAAUAGAUUUGGUCUUUACAGAUUAAUCAAAAUAUUAAAUCGUUUAAUUUUUAUAAAUAAAAAUUAAAGACUGAAAAGGCGCGUUUGGCUCCUUGCAACAAUCCAGCCAUAUCUACAGUAAAGUCUUGCAGCUCUCUUACCUUUUUGACUACAAAAGUCCACUGGAUAAAGCUCGCAUUUCGUGCAACGUUCAGGUUCCGUUCGCGACACUUCCAAACACGCAGCUGCACAAUUCAGGCGCGCACCAAACUCUGGUUCCAGAGCGGACUCCAACUUCCCCGGAGUGCUUCCUCCGCGUUGUGCUUCGCAGACAUCCGAUCCUCCCCGUUUAAGGCUGCCGUGCGGUUGUACGGAGAACCUACGUCGACGUUACGCCAGCCUGCAGAACCACCCCCGCUCCACCCGUGACUCACGUUGUUUCACUGCUACGGCAUUUGGCGCACAGCGCGCUGACGGUGCGGGCGCCGGAGAGAAGAAGAGCGGUUCAGGUGUGCGUCUCCAGAUGGACUGCACAGAUCCUGCGGCGUUUUUAAAAGGGUAGAAAAUCCCUGGAAUUGGCCUUCAUUCCAGGGAAGCUGGCCGGCUGUGGCUAAGAAGUGAGGAUAAUGAGAGAGUGGGACGAACCGUGCUUCUGACUCUUUACUCCUCUUCAUCUCUCCACAUCCCCACGUCGAAGCUCUUCCCUCCGACCAUUCCGGAGCUUCGCCGUAGGUGUGUUUUGACCACAGUUUGAGGUAGCAGUGAGUGAUAGGUCUCAAACCCAGAAGGUUAGCAGGAGAAAGCCUUCAUCACGCUGCUGCGUCUGGAAUAUUUUUACUGCACUGCAACCUUCCAUUACCUCUGUCUCCCUCUCACACAGACCUGCUCUGACGCCUUUGUGUGUUCAUGUCGCAUUGUUUCUUUUCUUCUUCAGUUUUUUAAUGCUGAAAAAAAAAGAUUUGCUUCCCUUUCUUAAACUCCAGCUGAGGUUUAUGAUACAUUUUUAGUUUUUAGUAUUCAAAAAUAACAUUCAGACAUAAGAAAAGGAUGGAUUAGGGUGGAUUAGUGCUUAGUUGGUGUGAGACUUGAACACAUUUUGAAUUCUUCUCUCAAAAGAAAGAAAAUUUAAAUGUGAGGUGUUGCACUUGGACAUGUAUUGAAGGGAACAAAUCCCUAUUGCACUGAUUAAUGUGCUCUGCUGAGUGCUAAGUUAGAGGUUUAUAAGAUUAUACUGGUUCAAAUCUAAAUUGUUUGCAAUGAAUUUAAAUAAACACAUAUUAUCUUUCCAGCAAAGCAGAUGUUCGUGUGCUGUUACAGCCUUUUCAGGUGUUGGCGUCUGGAAAUACCUGACAGCGUGCGCCGGCCUGUCAGGUCGAACCUGGAGCAGAUGUUGGACUCAAGCUUCACGGUUCUGCUUGCAUUUCUUUGAGACAUGAAAACAGCAUAUGAUGAAUGUGUUCUUCUUCUUUCUUCAGCUUUAUUUACAUAAAUUAGUUCCAACAACAGUAACAAAUGGGCUCAGUCAUGAGCGGUUAGUUACAGCAACAAUGAAGAAAAUUAAACUGACUGAUCUGGUUUAUUCAUUCAACUUCAUGGUAAACAUUUAACAAAUGUCUGGUUUUCAUAUAGGAAAAGAAAGAAAUCCUUACUGCCUGUCAAAAAGGCAUUUUGGCAUAAAAAUGAAAUGUAGUUAUAAAAUAUUAAAUCAGCUUUAAAAGUGUAAAUUUUAAAACAUUGGAAAUCCCGAAACAGUGUCAAUUAUGAGGUUGAGCGAGUAUUAAAAAAUGA
rnacentral:lncRNA from 1 species